GACGAACGCUGGCGGCGUGCUUAACACAUGCAAGUCGAACGCUGAAGCCCAGCUUGCUGGGUGGAUGAGUGGCGAACGGGUGAGUAACACGUGAGUAACCUGCCCCUUUCUUUGGGAUAACGCCCGGAAACGGGUGCUAAUACUGGAUAUUCACUGAUCUUCGCAUGGGGGUUGGUGGAAAGGUUUUUUCUGGUGGGGGAUGGGCUCGCGGCCUAUCAGCUUGUUGGUGGGGUGAUGGCCUACCAAGGCUUUGACGGGUAGCCGGCCUGAGAGGGUGACCGGUCACAUUGGGACUGAGAUACGGCCCAGACUCCUACGGGAGGCAGCAGUGGGGAAUAUUGCACAAUGGGCGAAAGCCUGAUGCAGCGACGCCGCGUGAGGGAUGACGGCCUUCGGGUUGUAAACCUCUUUCGCUCAUGGUCAAGCCGCAGCUUUGGGUUGUGGUGAGGGUAGUGGGUAAAGAAGCGCCGGCUAACUACGUGCCAGCAGCCGCGGUAAUACGUAGGGCGCGAGCGUUGUCCGGAAUUAUUGGGCGUAAAGGGCUUGUAGGCGGUUGGUCGCGUCUGCCGUGAAAUCCUCUGGCUUAACUGGGGGCGUGCGGUGGGUACGGGCUGACUUGAGUGCGGUAGGGGAGACUGGAACUCCUGGUGUAGCGGUGGAAUGCGCAGAUAUCAGGAAGAACACCGGUGGCGAAGGCGGGUCUCUGGGCCGUUACUGACGCUGAGGAGCGAAAGCGUGGGGAGCGAACAGG
rnacentral:rRNA from 1 species